rnacentral:tRNA from 1 species
CCAAAAAUAAGUGAAAGCCAAAAUAGAGGUAUCUAGCUGUUAAUUAGAAGAAUGUAAAAUAAUUACU